rnacentral:pre_miRNA from 1 species
AAUGGAAUUACUGAGGCAUAUAGUUAAGUGCAUGCUUGGUUUUAUAAGAAACUGCCAAACUGUUUUCCAAAGUGAUUGUGCCAUUUUGCAUUUCCAGCAAU